GGAAGCUUGAUUUUGACGCUAAAACCAGUGGAAAUGGUGAACUACAUGCUAAUGAUAACCGCCGAUCUCGAGAACAUCACCAGCCUCCAGCCUCAGGGCGGUUGCGACGAUCCUUCUUUCCCUUACUUCUUCAAGGUCCAUUCUACAUCGCCUCUCCUCUUCUUCGCUUCUUUUGUUCCUCUUAUGUAUAUAACAUGUGAUACCGACCUCUGUGCAAAUGCGUUAGGGUUUUCUUGUUCUAUCGCUGUCGGUCUCUAUUGCUUCUAAUUGAUCUUCAAUGUAUUCUUAUGCGACUGGUUACUAUUAUUGUUCGUCAUUCUCAGUUUUCCUUCGUUUUCUUUAGGUUCUGUUUUUAGCAUCUUCAAUUUAGUGGAAUUUGCCCAUUUUCUUUCUGCUUUGAAUCUGGAUUCUCAUAGCUAUUUGUGCAUAUUUCCUUUUUCUUUUCUGGGCGCAUCUGAUAUAAGCUCCAUCUGCAGUUUAAAAAAAAAAAGCUCCAUCUCACAUGACAAUGAGUUCUAUAACCAUUAAAAUUAAAUAUUUUUAUGGAAAUUUGUCUAAAAUUAAAAUUAAUUAAAGUGUGUAUAAUGGGGGUACAACUCUAGAUGCAAGUAUUUGAUUCAAGUACUGUUCAGCUCACUCUCAUGGGAGAUGAGCUCAUUGUAGCAGCUUC
rnacentral:misc_RNA from 1 species